GGUUCUUCAGCCUCGUUCCCGGGUAGUAUAAAGUUUGCUGUCUCCUUUGUUCGCCCUCGUUGCGCAGUAGUCCUAGCGGCUUGUCUGUGGUGUUCCGGGUCCCGGCAGCAGUCACUCGUACUGAGCUGCUUGGAAGACCCCGUCGGCGAGCUCUUUAGGAGCUUGAGACCGUCGCCACCCUCUCUGUAGACUAUCAUCUGCUGAAAAAAAAAAAUGGUUGAAGCAGAUCGCCCAGGAAAGCUCUUCAUUGGCGGGCUUAAUACAGAAACAAAUGAGAAAGCCCUUGAAGCAGUAUUUGGCAAAUAUGGACGAAUAGUGGAAGUACUUCUGAUGAAAGACCGUGAAACCAACAAAUCUAGAGGAUUUGCUUUUGUCACCUUUGAAAGCCCAGCAGAUGCCAAGGAUGCAGCCAGAGACAUGAAUGGAAAGUCCUUAGAUGGGAAAGCCAUCAAAGUGGAACAGGCCACCAAACCAUCAUUUGAAAGUGGUAGACGUGGACCACCUCCACCUCCAAGAAGCAGGGGUCCUCCCAGAGGUCUUAGAGGAGGAAGAGGAGGAAGUGGAGGAACUAGGGGACCUCCUUCACGUGGAGGACACAUGGAUGAUGGUGGCUAUUCCAUGAAUUUUAACAUGAGUUCUUCCAGGGGACCGCUUCCAGUGAAAAGGGGACCACCACCACGGAGUGGGGGUCCUCCUCCUAAAAGAUCCGCACCUUCAGGACCAGUUCGCAGCAGUAGUGGAAUGGGAGGAAGAGCCCCUGUGUCACGUGGAAGAGAUAGUUAUGGAGGCCCACCUCGAAGGGAACCCCUGCCUUCUCGCAGAGAUGUUUAUUUGUCCCCGAGAGAUGAUGGAUAUUCUACUAAAGACAGCUAUUCAAGCAGAGAUUACCCAAGUUCCCGUGAUACAAGAGAUUAUGCACCACCACCAAGAGAUUAUACUUACCGUGACUAUGGUCAUUCCAGUUCACGUGAUGACUAUCCAUCAAGAGGCUAUAGUGACAGAGAUGGCUAUGGACGGGAUCGUGACUAUUCAGAUCAUCCAAGUGGAGGAUCCUACAGAGACUCAUAUGAGAGUUAUGGUAACUCACGUAGUGCUCCACCUACACGAGGGCCCCCGCCAUCUUAUGGUGGAAGCAGUCGCUAUGAUGAUUACAGCAGCUCACGUGACGGAUAUGGUGGAAGUCGAGACAGUUACUCAAGCAGCCGAAGUGAUCUCUACUCAAGUGGUCGUGAUCGGGUUGGCAGACAAGAACGAGGGCUUCCUCCUUCUAUGGAAAGGGGGUACCCUCCUCCACGCGAUUCCUACAGCAGUUCAAGCCGCGGAGCACCAAGAGGUGGUGGCCGUGGAGGAAGCCGAUCUGAUAGAGGGGGAGGCAGAAGCAGAUACUAGAAACAAACAAAACUUGGACCAAAAUCCCCAUUCAAAGAAACAAACAAAAAAGUGGAAACUAUUCUGUCAUAACUACCCAAGGACUACUAAAAGGAAAAAUUGUGUUACCGUUUUAAAAUUUCCUGUUAAGUUCUCCUUCAUAAUUUUUAUGUUCUUGUGAGGGAAAAAAGUUUAAACAUGUUUAAUUUUAUUUGAUAUGAGUUGCUUUCAACAAGCAGAUGUUAAAUGUGUAAGACUUGACUUGUACUAGUGUUGUAAUUUUCCAAGUAAAAGUGUCCCUAAAGACCACUUUCUAUCUUAAUUUUUCCCAAUAAAUGAGGCAAGCAAUUCUAAGAUCUUCCACAAACAUCUAGCCAUCUAGAUGUACAUUGGUCUCCAUUGAGAGAUGAACCAUCCUUCCUGUACAGACAAGCUAGCUGUUAGAGGGUGGUCGGGGUAUGCUACUCUAAAUGAUUUCAGGUUGUCUUCCAACUGAAAUCUCAUUGUUCUCAGUCUAUGAAAAACCUGAGAUCAGAUACCUAUGUGAGGAAAGUGCUAUUUCACCCAGUAAACCCAAAAAAGCAAAUGGAUAAUGCUGGCCAUAUUGCCUUUCUGACAUUUCCUUGGGAAUCUGCAAGGACCUCCCCUUUCCCCUCCCCCAAUAAGACCAUUUAAGUGUGUGUUAAACAACUACAGAAUACUAAAUAAAAAGUUUGGCCAAAACCAACCAUGAAGCUGCAAACAUGCUUGCUCUUACUGUUUCAAAUUUUUGCAACUCUGUAGUGUUUCACUUUUAAAGGAACAGCUUGAUUGCAAAGGAGAAAAUAGAUAAGCAAUGAAGUUAUCUCCAACUUCCUAAAGGCUUAUGACUUCUAAAAAGUGAAUCUAUCAGCAUUCCACAUCAGAUUUAAAGCAUCAAAUGCCUGUGAAACAGCAAAGAUGGUUGAGCACUAUGGUCAUUAUGCUCAUGGAAUGCUGAUGUAUUCACAGUAGAUUAAGCUGGCAGCAAGAGAAAUCAAAUGCUAAGAGUUGUUGAAGCAGAAGAAUGCUGAUUGUCAAUAAGUCACAACAGUUGCAUAAGCAGUGCUCAUCAGAAUUGGUUUGGUUGGUUUGGUGCAGGCAAUAGAUUAUAUUUUUGCCUUCCAGGGUUCUUAGGGAUCUGAGGGAGGCCUCAGUUGGUUAACACUCAACUAGGGAGUGGUGGUUACUUAAAAUGAAGUGGAGAAGGGGAAACAAAUUGGUAAGUGGAGAUACUUGGGAAAUUCUUGUGGUUCUGGUAGAUUUUAUAGCUUUGGCUUUGGUUUUUUUUAAAGCUAAAGUCAUGAGGGGACAACUGAAAUUUAGAGCUAAUUACCACUGAGUAUCAGAAAGUUGAAUUAGUUGCUGGGGCUGUAACUUAUUGGUAGAGCACUUGCCUAGCAUGUGUGAGGCCCUGGGUUCGACCCUCAGCACUGCAAAACAGAAAGUUCAAUCAGAAAAAUGAUAGGAGUAAGUGGUAACUUUUUUUUUAAUCCAGUGGUGUCUGAUUUUCAGCAAGUAAAACAUUCGAUGUUAGCUUAUCAGAAAAAAGUUUAGUUGUACAACAAAACUAAAGGGGGAGGAGUUAAUACCAGGAAAUAAAACAUAGCUGGAAACAUUGCUAAGAUAAUGGAAGGCAAGCUUGAAACUGGAAAAAAAAUUCAGACACUUACUUGAUUACUGUAAUGUUUUGUAAGCCUACCCCAUAUUCCCAGUCUUGGAAACAAACCUUGGUGUACAACUCUAGUUACUGCUUUGGAGGUUUAUAGUAUUAUAAAUACUAAUACUGGAAACAGAUUGAGUUGUUGGGUUAGAGGAACCAACUCAACUUUGGGGUUUUUUGCAUAGUAGUUAAAAGUAUUACUCUUAUGUUUAACUUUUGUGAUUGGGGAAGAUAAUCCAAAAAUGACUCUAAUGAGAGUCAUAUGACUAAUGGGUCAUAUUCCUAAUCACAGACCAUGAGCGUAUUGACCAAAUUUUAGUAGUUGCACUUGAAUAGCUAUCUUAGCUCAAGCCUUCCAUAAUCUUAUUACUUGAGUAGGUGCUUUUUUGAGGACCUUUUGGCUCUUGAGAUUUUUCAAUUACUUGCAUAUAGUGUAGAAUAAAAGACUUAAUUAUAGUAAGUAUAAAUACUAAAUAAGGUAAGGGGUAUACUUAAAUAACCCAGACACCUGUUGGACAGUUUAUAGACCAAGGAGGUGUAAUUCUACUCCCAAUGGAAAAAGAGUUGGUCUUGAAUCUUUAUACUGAUUGUAAAAGAAAUGGUAAAAUGUUUUUCUUCUUUAACUUGAACAUAGAACUUUAGGUAUUUAGAUAACUUCACGUUUUGAAAUGUUUUGUAUCGAAACCUAAUAAAACUUUAACAUGUAUACUUUUGUGACGAUGGGUUCUUUUUUCUUCAUCUUUUUUUUUUGAAAUGAAGUGUAUUUGGGCUUUAAGUUUUUUCUUAAGUCUAUCCCCCAAACGAGUUCUGGGUGCACUACUGGCACUUGCUCCAGUGGUAAGGGAACAUCUAGAGUCACCAAGGUGACCUUUACCCAUGACAAGGCUUUAUUGAGGAAUGCACUUCAGAUACAUGUUAAGAUAAUCAGAUGAUUUCAUUUAAUCCUCACCUAAAAAUUAUAUGUGAGGAAUCACACCUAAGAAGUAGGAAACAGUAACAAUUUGGUUGUGGCCAUGAAUCCCAAACAGUAUGGGCCAAAGUUACUCAGUGAUGGAUGCUAUAGAUCCAACAGUGCACGAUAAUAUGGUACUGUUUUUGCAAUUUUCAGUUUCUCUUGACUUACCUCCUGUUGAGUACACAUUUGAUUCUAAGUCUGUUGAUUUGCACCAAAGUAAAGUUGUAUUUGGGUUAUAAGGCCAGUUGGACACAGUCAUCAUCUGAAUUCUGUGAAGGCCUCAGCUCCACACCAGUUCCAGAAAAAUAACAUUCCCAUCAUUUCUUUAUAAAACAUAUCAAUAGCAAGGUAAAUAUUUGAAUUUCUAAGGUCAUGUUUUAAAUUUCAUUUAUUCAAAUAUUAAGUGAAUGUACUGUAAAGGUAGAGAUCAUUGCCAUCUCAGAAAGCUAUCUGUUGCCCCUUCCCAGGCAAUGUCUACCUUUAUCUUUCCUCUUAAUUGUGGUAGGUUCACUUUGCCAUGUUCUGGAACAUCAAGUAAAUGGAAUCGUUAUGGAGCUUUAUGUAAAGUUGUCUUUCAGAAAAGUACUUUGAGGCUGGAGGUGUGGCUCAAGCAGUAGUAGAGUGCCUGCUUUACAAUCCUGAAGCUCUGAGUUCAAACCCCAGUCCUACCAAAAAAAAAAAAAA